CCUACGGGAGGCAGCAGUGGGGAAUAUUGCACAAUGGGGGAAACCCUGAUGCAGCGACGCCGCGUGAGUGAAGACGUAUCUCGGUACGUAAAGCUCUAUCAGCAGGGAAGAAAAUGACGGUACCUGACUAAGAAGCCCCGACGAACUACGUGCCAGCAGCCGCGGUAAUACGUAGGGGGCCAGCGUUAUCCGGAUUUACUGGGUGUAAAGGGAGCGUAGGCGGCAGCACAAGUCUGGAGUGAAAUCCCGGGGCUGAACCCCGGAACUGCUUUGGAAACUGUGCGGCUGGAGUGCAGGAGGGGUAAGCGGAAUUCCUAGUGUAGCGGUGAAAUGCGUAGAUAUUAGGAGGAACACCGGUGGCGAAGGCGGCUUACUGGACUGUAACUGACGUUGAGGCUCGAAAGCGUGGGGAGCAAACAGGAUUAGAUACCCCUGUAGUC
rnacentral:rRNA from 1 species